CAGGAUGAACGCUAGCGACAGGCCUAACACAUGCAAGUCGAGGGGCAGCGCGGAGUAGCAAUACUUGGCGGCGACCGGCGCACGGGUGAGUAACACGUAUGCCAACCAACCCAUAACAGGGGGAUAACCCGGAGAAUCCGGACUAAUACCGCAUAAGACCACGAUAUCGCAUGAUAUAGAGGUCAAAUAUUUAUAGGUUAUGGACGGGCAUGCGUCUGAUUAGCUGGUUGGCGGGGUAACGGCCCACCAAGGCAUCGACCAGUAGGGGUUCUGAGAGGAAGGUCCCCCCACAUUGGAACUGAGACACGGUCCAAACUCCUACGGGAGGCAGCAGUGGGGAAUAUUGCACAAUGGGCGAAAGCCUGAUGCCAGCAACGCCGCGUGAAUGAUGAAGGCCUUCGGGUCGUAAAGUUCUUUGAUCAGGGAUGAUAGUGACAGUACCUGAAAAACAAGCCACGGCUAACUACGUGCCAGCCGCAGC
rnacentral:rRNA from 1 species